rnacentral:lncRNA from 1 species
GAAUAUCCAGCUGUUAGACAAAUGAACCAGGCAACCAGGAAUUGUCCAUACAAUGGUUCCAGCACUGCAAAAGCAAAGCCCCUUAGAACAGCUCGUCUCCAUCCUUUAGUCAAAUCCCAGCAGUAACUGACUUGCAGAUCUCCACUUCUGCACUAACAUUUUGCCAUUUGUUGCAUCAUAUUUGUGAAAUGAUUUACACUUCGAUAAAGGAGGAAGCAUGUACAAGACUGAGAAGGCAAGUGAAAUAAUGACUUCUUGACAGGCAAGAGGAAUUUCUGGAAAGACUGAAAACAUGCUGCCUGACCAAAUGAAGUAUUUCUUAACUCAUAUAUCCUGAUUAGCAACUGAAGGAAAUUAAGAACAGCUUGGAGAGACUUAGGGAGAUGAGUAACUUGUAAUAAGAUGGGCACGUGUGUUAGGGAUGACAAUCAGAAGACAUCCUUAGAGUUGUCUAAGCGUUUAUAUCCGUAAUCAAAAGCAUGUACCGUCUGCAAAAAGAUGAAGUUUCAAACAUAGCACAAUGUAUCACUGAUACCCUGAAUGUCUAUUGAAGGCUGUAAUAGAAUAAAGUUAUAUAAUCAAUUAAAGGAAUGUGUACU